rnacentral:rRNA from 1 species
CCUACGGGGGGCUGCAGUAGGGAAUCUUCGGCAAUGGACGAAAGGCUGACCGAGCAACGCCGCGUGAAGGAAGAAGGUUUUCGGAUUGUAAAACUCUGUUUUGAGAGAAGAACAAGGAGGAUAGUAACUGUUUUUCCUUUGACGUUAUCUUACCAGAAAGCCACGGCUAACUACGUGCCAGCAGCCACGGUAAGACUUCGGGGGCAAUCCGUGUCCGGAGUUAUUGGGCGUAAAGCGAGCGCAGGCGGCUUGUUAAGUCGGAUGUGAAAGACCGCGGCUCAACCGGGGAGGGUCCUUUGAAACUGAGAGGCUUGAGUGCAGAAGAGGAGGGUGGAAUUCCAUGUGUAGCGGUGAAAUGCGUAGAUAUCUGCCGGAACACCAGUGGCGAAGGCGGCUCUCUGAUCUGUAACUGACGCUGAGGCUCGAAAGCGUGGGGAGCAAACAGGAUUAGAUACCCGGGUAGUC